rnacentral:rRNA from 1 species
AAACCGACACAGGUGGGUGAGGAGAGUAUCCUAAGGCCAGCGAGAGAACUGUUGUUACGGAACUCGCCAAACUGACCCCGUAACUUAGGAAUACGGCCUGCCACCAUCAGGUGGCCGCAGAGAAUAGGCCCAAGCGACUGUUUACCAAAAACAUAGGUUUCUGCUAAGUCGCAAGACGAUGUAUAGGAGCUGACGCCUGCCCGGUGCUGGAAGGUUAAGGGGAUCUGUUAGAGCAAUCGAAGCAGUGAACUUAAGCCCCAGUAAACGGCGGCCGUAACUAUAACGGUCCUAAGGUAGCGAAAUUCCUUGUCGGGUAAGUUCCGACCCGCACGAAAGGCGUAACGAUUUGGGCACUGUCUCAACAACAGACUCGGUGAAAUUGUAAUUCCGGUGAAGAUGCCGGAUACCUGCGACAGGACGGAAAGACCCCAUGGAGCUUUACUGUAGCUUGACAUUGGGUCUUGGUACUACAUGUACAGGAUAGGUGGGAGGCUUUGAAACCAGGACGCCAGUUUUGGCGGAGCCAUCCUUGGGAUACCACCCUUGUAGUACUGGGACUCUAACCAUAGGCCAUGAAUCUGGUCUUGGGACACUGUCAGGUGGGCAGUUUGACUGGGGCGGUCGCCUCCCAAAAGGUAACGGAGGCGCUCAAAGGUUCUCUCAGUACGGUCGGAAAUCGUACGUAGAGUGUAAAGGC